rnacentral:lncRNA from 1 species
CUCGUAGGAUUCGCGAACUUGAUAACUUGUCGCUGCGUGACCUGGUGAAGAGGCAGUGCACCGCGAGGCUGUCCACGCGAUGAACUACCGAGACAAUCACCCUUCCACGUACCGACGAACAGCCCACGCAAUCACGCCGUAUAGACGUGAAGGCACAAACUGGAUGAACCGCUGUUCGGCGUUCUACAACUCCCUCAGGAAUCGAAUGAACAAGUUUUGCAAGCCUCUCAAGACUCACGCAUAAACAAAACUCCACGAGUUUGUGUAUUCUGAAUUUUAACCAAGGAAGAUGUGUCCUUUCAUUGUCUAGUUACAAGAGAUAUAUAUAGAUAGGGGCGUUCAGCUUUGAAUACAUGACAGCAUGCACAUCCACUAGUGGAUUUCGUGGCUGGUUCGCGCGUCUUCUCAGCUUCUGGCAGCAGUUACUAAAAUG